rnacentral:lncRNA from 1 species
AUGCUCUCCCGGAGCGGCCGCCCCCCGCCGCCUCCCCGGCCGUGCUCCGCCGCCCCCCGGCCGUGCUCCGCGCCCCCCGGGCGGCCGCUGCGGGACCGGGGGGGCCGCAGGGCUCGGCGCAGCGCAGAGCGGCGGCGGAGCCCAGCAGCAGAAGCAGCAGCGGAGGAAGAGGCAGGCGGGAGGCCACGGCGGUGGCGGUGGCUGCGAGGGACACGCGUGGCCCGCCGUGCGCCAUGGUGGCUCUCCGGAGUGGCAGUGACAGGCGGGGAGGUGGCGGCGAGGGAGACACCGCCGCGGAGGGCGGGGGCUGGGGAGGGUCGGAGCCGGAGCCGGAGCGGGGCUGAGCGCCCGGCCGGGGAGGCGCCGCCAUCUGCUGGCCCGCAGCGAAACGCCGGCACCGGGGGAGAGCCCGGGGCGGCCCCGCCGGGACCGGGGGAGGCGCGGGAGGGGGCGCACGGGGAGCCCCCAGGGGUGGCUGCGCCGCGGGGCACGCGUGGGGGCGCGCACAGGGGCGGUCAGAGGGUCAGGGAGAGUGUCACCCAGAGGGUCGCCCACUGGGUCACCAGCCAGGUCACCCAGCGGGUCACACUCAGGGACAGCGACCAGGUCACCCAGUGGGUCACUCAUGGGGUCAUCUUCGAGGUCACCCGCAGUGCUCCACGCUGGUCACCUCCGUGGCCACACAUCGGGUCACCCCCAGGGCCACCCAGCAGGUCACCCAUGGGACCACCCAGCAAGUCAACCACCGGGUCAUGCUCUGGGUCACCCACGGUGCUGCACACUAGGUCACCUACCUGGUCACCCACCGGGUCACACUCUGGGUCACCCACAGCACUACACAUUGGGUCACACUCUGGGUCACCGACCAGGUCACCCACGGGGCCGCAGCCACACGCUCCCAGCCGCCCGUACCCUGAUGGGGACACACUUUUUGGGCUGCUGGUUCUGACCGUGCUCCUUCAGCCCCACUGCAGCACCGGCUGCCUGCGGGCUGUCCCGUGGCGCUGCAGAGCGCCCCCAGCCACCCUCAUGCAGCCCCUCGGUGUGGACGUGCUACCUGCUGACUGUGGGGUGGGCAAGCCUGGCCUCUCGCGGCACGGGGUUUAG